AGUUGAUCCUGGCUAGGAUGAACGCUAGCGACAGGCCUAACACAUGCAAGUCGAGGGGCAGCGCGGGAGAAGCUUGCUUUCCUGGCGGCGACCGGCGCACGGGUGCGUAACAGGUGUGCAAUCUGUCCAUAGUCGGGGGAUAGCCCAGCGAAAGCUGAAUUAACACUCCAUGUGAAUCGAAGCCGCAUGACUUUGAUUUGAAACGCAAGGACUAUGGGUGAGCACGCUUCUGAUUAGCUAGUUGGUGGGGUAACGGCUCACCAAGGCGACGAUCAGUAGGGGUUCUGAGAGGAAGGUCCCCCACAUUGGAACUGAGACACGGUCCAAACUCCUACGGGAGGCAGCAGUGAGGAAUAUUGGUCAAUGGGCGAGAGCCUGAACCAGCCAAGUCGCGUGAAGGAUGAAGGUUCUAUGGAUUGUAAACUUCUUUUGUCCGAGGGUAAAAAAGGUCACGUGUGACUUCUUGCAAGUAUCGGACGAAUAAGCAUCGGCUAACUCCGUGCCAGCCGCCGC
rnacentral:rRNA from 1 species